rnacentral:rRNA from 1 species
CUAGCCGUAAACGAUGGAUACUAGGUGUUAGAGGUAUCGACCCCUCUAGUGCCGCAGCUAACGCAUUAAGUAUCCCGCCUGGGGAGUACGACCGCAAGGUUGAAACUCAAAGGAAUUGACGGGGGCCCGCACAAGCGGUGGAGCAUGUGGUUUAAUACGUCACUAACCGUAGAACCUUACCCAGGCUUGACAUCUGGUGUAAGUCCAUGAAAGUGGUACCCCUGUAUGGAAACAUACAGCAGCAAGACAGGUGU